CGAUUGCCAGGGUGAUGAACUAUAGUUGUGUGCAGACGCCUCUGAAGCACUUCAGGCAAAUUAGAUCCGAUGUGAAUUGCCUUUCUUCCUCAGUUGGCCUCGUCCCCACCCUGUAGACGUGUCCCACCCUGACUGAUCCGCUAUAUAAGGAGGUGUUGCUGUUGAUCAGAACAGACGUCUUUGUGCCAACCCCACCAUGAGACUCACCGCCUUCCUGCUUCUGCUGUGCCUGUGCUCUGCACUAAUGACUUCUAAAUGUGCUCUUGCAGGUGGAGGUGAGGAAGACAAAAUUGAUUUCAAUGAUAUAGAUCAUCUACAAAAGUCUGAAGAUAACA